rnacentral:rRNA from 1 species
UACGUAGGGUGCGAGCGUUGUCCGGAAUUAUUGGGCGUAAAGGGCUCGUAGGCGGUUUGUCGCGUCGGGAGUGAAAACACCGGGCUUAACUCGGUGCUUGCUUUCGAUACGGGCAGACUAGAGGUAUGCAGGGGAGAACGGAAUUCCUGGUGUAGCGGUGAAAUGCGUAGAUAUACGGAGGAACACCUGCGGCGAAGGCGGGCAGCUGGGCCAACACUGACGCUGAGACGCGAAAGCUAGGGGAGCAAACGGG